rnacentral:tRNA from 1 species
GUACGGGUGCCAGAUGUUUUAUGGGUUAGUUUUAAGCAUUGAUUAAGGGCUUGAGCCGCCCCCCGUAUG